UGGCGUGAACCCGGGAGGCGGAGCUUGCAGUGAGCCGCGAUCGCGCCACUGCACUCCAGCCUGGGGGACAGAGCGAGACUCCAUCUCAAACAACACACACACACACAAAACAACCAAAAAAAGAAAGAAAGAAAGAAUUUCAAAGUUAAGUCAUUGGAGUUUGUUGGUAAUAUAUUUGUAUGGCUUAGGUCAUGUUACGCGCAUCACCCCCUCACCCCAUGUCUGCUGUUGGGUCUCAGCACUGGGUGGAGGGAGGGGCAAUAGUCCUGGUGAAGAGGAGGGGGGAGCGGCACCAGCUGGAGCAGGGCAGGGUCAGGAGAGUCUAUGGAGGAGAAGACCUGGAACAAGACCUCUCUCUCUUGCUCUCUUACACACACACACACACACACACACACACACACACACUCUCACACCCCUAUGAGCCCAAAUCUAUGAAUUGAGAACCUCAUUCUCUGACCUCACCUUCCAUCUCCCUCAAUCAGAGAUGCCCACAAACCUCAGAGCUGUGUCCCAGCAUCACUUGUUUUGACUCCCGUCCCCAACUGCCUUGACUUCCUGUCUGCCUGGGAACCUGUCUGUGUGGACUUUUCCCUCUAUGUCCACCAGUGUCCUGUCACCAGUGGCAUUUGUCACCUCUGCCUGGGCAGCCCCACAUGACUCUUUGCACCUUCAUGGACUUUGGGGUUAUUGAUGUAUGUGCCUCAUCUCCCUGUGAACUGGAACUGUCCUAAGGAAAGGGAGGGUCGUGCCUUAUUCCUGAUACUCCACGAUUCCUUGUAUAGUGUGGCCACCAGGCACUGACAUGCUCUCCUUGGAUGAAUGAGUACUGUGGGUUCUAGGAAGCCCGCAUGAAUGCAGAUGUGAUGUCCUCAGCCUUUCAUAGACAUGUUUCAUGUGAGAGGUGGGAAGAGCAGCUGAACAGAAGGCUGAGGACUGCCCAGGUCCAGAGUCACCAAGAGCUUGUUGUCAGGUUUUCACUUGCUAUUCGCAGAGAUUUUUUUUAAAGGCACUAUUUGUAGUGUUAAAAGGGUGAAUUUAUCAGAAGGCAUAAUAAUCAUAAAUGUGUAUAUGCCUAAUAAUAGAACUUUAAAAGGCAUGAAGCAACACUCAAAAGGAUUAAAGGGAGAUCAUCUCACCCCCUUCUUACCAAUUGAUAGAAUGAUCUGAUGAAAACAGUAAAAUAACAACAGAUCUGAACACUGUCAACCAUCUUGACAAAUACUUAUGCCUAGUGUUCCAUUAUUGGAACACUAAACAUGUGGAAUGAUUUAUAUCCUACUGCUCAAGGUCAUCACCAAGGUCUAAUUGUAAAAUUUCAAAAAAUUGCAACCUCAGGCAUAAAUGGGUUAAUCGACAUUUAUAGCACACACAUGCAACAUGUACCAGAGAUUCCUUCUUUUCUAUGAACAUGGUACUUCCACCAAGAUAGACCACAUUGUGAACUAUAAAACAAAUCUAAAAACAUUUGAAAUGAAGGAAAUUAUAUAAAAUAUGUUCUCUGAUCUCAAUGAAAUUAAAUUAAUAACUAUAUCUAGAAAAACUCCCAAUAUGUGAAUAUUAAGCAACAUACUUAUAAAAAAUUCAUAGUUCAUGGAUGAAAUCAAAAGAGAAUUCAAAAUAUUUCAAAAUAAAUUAUGAUGAUUAUAUAAAAUGUAGAAAUGUGUGGGAUGCCACUACACCAGUUCUUAGAGUGAAAUGCACAGCUUUCAAGGCUUCUGUUAAAAGAGUUGGGAAUUACAAAACAAGGAGCAGCGACUGCCAAUGGGUGUGGAGUCUUUUUUGGGGUGAUGAUGAAAAUGUUCAAAAAUUGAUUUUAUUGAUGGUUACACACGUCUAUAAAUAUAUUUAAACGGAAGAAUUAUAUGAUAUAUAUGUGAUAUAUGAAGUAUAUCUCUGUAAAAUUCCUAAGGAUUAAAAGAAGAAUGGUAUCACAAU
rnacentral:lncRNA from 1 species